rnacentral:rRNA from 1 species
CUGGGUGUAAAGGGUGCGUAGGCGGGACUGCAAGUCAGACGUGAAAUACCGGGGCUUAACCUCGGGGCUGCGUUUGAAACUGUGGUUCUUGAGUGAAGUAGAGGCAGGCGGAAUUCCUAGUGUAGCGGUGAAAUGCGUAGAUAUUAGGAGGAACACCAGUGGCGAAGGCGGCCUGCUGGGCUUUAACUGACGCUGAUGCACGAAAGCAUGGGGAGCAAACAGGAUUAGAUACCCUGGUAGUCCAUGCCGUAAACGAUGAUAGCUAGGUGUGGGGGGACUGACCCCUUCCGUGCCGGAGCAAACGCAAUAAGCUAUCCACCUGGGGAGUACGACCGCAAGGUUGAAACUCAAAGGAAUUGACGGGGGCCCGCACAAGCAGUGGAGUAUGUGGUUUAAUUCGAAGCAACGCGAAGAACCUUACCAGGUCUUGACAUCCAACUAACGAGGCAGAGAUGCGUUAGGUGCCCUUCGGGGAAAGUUGAGACAGGUGGUGCAUGGUUGUCGUCAGCUCGUGUCGUGAGAUGUUGGGUUAAGUCCCGCAACGAGCGCAACCCUUGUCAUUAGUUGCUACGCAAGAGCACUCUAAUGAGACUGCCGUUGACAAAACGGAGGAAGGUGGGGACGACGUC